rnacentral:rRNA from 1 species
GACAGAGGUGCCGAGCGUUAGGCGGAAUCACUGGGCUUAAAGCGUGUGUAGGCGGACCCGUAAGUACCUUGUGAAAUCCCACGGCUCAACCGUGGAACGGCUGGGUAUACUGCGGGUCUUGAGCGGCCUAGGGGCAGACGGAACAAGUGGUGGAGCGGCGAAAUGCGUAGAUAUCACUUGGAACGCCGACGGUGAAAACAGUCUGCUGGGGGCCUGCUGACGCUGAGACACGAAAGCCAGGGGAGCGAACGGG